ACCACCCCACUUUGAUUCUCAGAAGCCGCCACUCCACCCGUGAUCAAUGGCGCCACCUCCGUCUCCUCCCGCCGUCGAUCCCAGAAGCGGCUUCUGCAAAUCCAACUCCACCUUCUACAGCAAGCGCAAACCAGUCCCUCUCCCACCCAACGACUCUCUCGACGUCACCACAUUCAUUUCCUCUCAGGCCCACCGCGGCCACAUCGCCUUCAUCGACGCCGCCACGGGCCGCCACCUCACCUACUCCCAGCUCUGGCGCGCCGUCGACUCCGUCGCCUCCUCUCUCUCCGACAUGGGCAUCAAAAAAGGCCACGUCAUCCUCAUCUUAUCCCCCAACUCCAUCUCCUUCCCCGUCGUCUGCCUCGCCACCAUGUCCCUCGGCG
rnacentral:lncRNA from 1 species